rnacentral:rRNA from 1 species
GACGAACGCUGGCGGCGUGCCUAAUACAUGCAAGUAGAACGCACAGUUUAUACCGUAGCUUGCUACACCAUAGACUGUGAGUUGCGAACGGGUGAGUAACGCGUAGGUAACCUGCCUGGUAGCGGGGGAUAACUAUUGGAAACGAUAGCUAAUACCGCAUAAUAUUGAUUAUUGCAUGAUAAUUGAUUGAAAGAUGCUAUUGCAUCACUACCAGAUGGACCUGCGUUGUAUUAGCUAGUAGGUGAGGUAACGGCUCACCUAGGCGACGAUACAUAGCCGACCUGAGAGGGUGAUCGGCCACACUGGGACUGAGACACGGCCCAGACUCCUACGGGAGGCAGCAGUAGGGAAUCUUCGGCAAUGGACGAAAGUCUGACCGAGCAACGCCGCGUGAGUGAAGAAGGUUUUCGGAUCGGAAAGCUCUGUUGUAAGAGAAGAACGGGUGUGAGAGUGGAAAGUUCACACUGUGACGGUAUCUUACCAGAAAGGGACGGCUAACUACGUG